GCUGCUUCAGGGGAAAAGGUGGGUGGAACCUGAAAAGUAGAGUUCCCAAAAGUGGUCCUCUGGUAAAGAGAAGAAUGAAAAUAAAGAAGAAAAUGAUGUGUCACUGAGAAGCAGUAACUAGUGAUUAUUUGGGGAUUUGUUUUCUCUCCCGCUCCCUUCCCUUUUCUCUGUCCUCAGCUAUCUAUCUAUAAAUAGAGAGGAGCAGUUGUGCGCCUGAAGCAGUCACUUAUGUGUCAUCUCACUAAAGUUUGCAAUUAACUUCUGUUUCAAAAAUGCCCAUUGAUUAUAAUUUUCUCAUUGUGACUGAAGAACUACAAAACAUUUAUUGAUUCUUACAUGGACAUAUAUAGGCAGUGAGCAUUCACUCAUGUUCAACACAUUAUUUUCCCAGUUAGCAGCAGAGAAAGAUAACUGUUAAACUGUUUAACUGCUUCUGAUAUUACAAAUCAAGAUUUGGAAGCUGUACGAGCACUAAAACUAUCUAAUAUUUGCAUCUCAUCUCACUACAGAUUUUCUUGAUUCAUUUUCAUCAGUUUUCAGGCCAAGAACAGAGAGUGUGAGAGAGUUUAAUCUGCUGGAUCACUGUGUUUAAAUUCUUCAGACAGGAUAAAGUGAAAAUUGGUUUACUAAAGAUGGAUCACGCUGAAAUAACAUGAUCUGUUUUCUUGACAAGGUACAGGCAUCCAGAUUAGGAAAGAAACAAGACCACAGUGGUGAAGCAAACAAUCACAUAGCUCAACUGCAAGUUUCUGUGAAUAUUGCACAAAUAGUUUGCAAUUACUUCAUAAAAUCAAAUUAUUUUGACCCUCAAAAAUUCAAGGUAAUAGAAAAAGAAGUAAGUAUUGUGUGUUAUUGGCAUGCAAUUUCUG
rnacentral:lncRNA from 1 species